GACAAACCGUGCGAACGUUGUUCGGAAUUACUGGGCGUAAAGGGCGUGUAGGCGGCCAACUAAGUCCGACGUGAAAUCCCCAGGCUUAACCUGGGAACUGCGUCGGAUACUGGAUGGCUUGAAUCCGGGAGAGGGAUGCGGAAUUCCAGGUGUAGCGGUGAAAUGCGUAGAUAUCUGGAGGAACACCGGUGGCGAAGGCGGCAUCCUGGACCGACACUGACGCUGAGGAGCGAAAGCCAGGGGAGCAAACGGG
rnacentral:rRNA from 1 species